rnacentral:rRNA from 1 species
UUCGACACACUAUCAUUAACUGAAUCCAUAGGUUAAUGAGGCGAACCGGGGGAACUGAAACAUCUAAGUACCCCGAGGAAAAGAAAUCAACCGAGAUUCCCCCAGUAGCGGCGAGCGAACGGGGAGCAGCCCAGAGCCUGAAUCAGUAUGUGUGUUAGUGGAAGCGUCUGGAAAGGCGCGCGAUACAGGGUGACAGCCCCGUACACAAAAAUGCACAUGCUGUGAGCUCGAUGAGUAGGGCGGGACACGUGGUAUCCUGUCUGAAUAUGGGGGGACCAUCCUCCAAGGCUAAAUACUCCUGACUGACCGAUAGUGAACCAGUACCGUGAGGGAAAGGCGAAAAGAACCCCGGCGAGGGGAGUGAAAAAGAACCUGAAACCGUGUACGUACAAGCAGUGGGAGCACGCUUAGGCGUGUGACUGCGUACCUUUUGUAUAAUGGGUCAGCGACUUAUAUUCUGUAGCAAGGUUAACCGAAUAGGGGAGCCGAAGGGAAACCGAGUCUUAACUGGGCGUUAAGUUGCAGGGUAUAGACCCGAAACCCGGUGAUCUAGCCAUGGGCAGGUUGAAGGUUGGGUAACACUAACUGGAGGACCGAACCGACUAAUGUUGAAAAAUUAGCGGAUGACUUGUGGCUGGGGGUGAAAGGCCAAUCAAACCGGGAGAUAGCUGGUUCUCCCCGAAAGCUAUUUAGGUAGCGCCUCGUGAAUUCAUCUCCGGGGGUAGAGCACU